UACGAAGGAUGCAAGCGUUAUCCGGAUUUAUUGGGUUUAAAGGGUGCGUAGGCGGACUUAUAAGUCAGUGGUGAAAUCUCGAUGCUUAACAUCGAACGUGCCAUUGAUACUGUAGGUCUUGAGUACAGAUGCCGUUGGCGGAAUGUGUCAUGUAGCGGUGAAAUGCAUAGAUAUGACACAGAACACCGAUUGCGAAGGCAGCUGACGAAACUGUAACUGACGCUGAGGCACGAAAGCGUGGGGAGCGAACAGG
rnacentral:rRNA from 1 species